AUACUCUUUUGGCAGUACAGAAACUAGUAUCAAACCAAUACAGAGAUUAUUAGGAUGGUCCUUACACAUGGAUGACAAGCAAAUUAAUAAAGUAUUUAGUUAUUUU